UACUUGUGUGGUGUCAUCAGCUAUAGGAUCUUACCAUCACAUUCUGAUGGGUAGCCCUGAGCAAUGAGAAUUGACAACUCUGGUAUCAUCUCUGUGACAUCCUCGACCAACAACUUGAGAGCAAGGUGUCCUACAUCUAGCUCUGGACUUUUUGAGAACUUGUAGCCAAUGGAAGGAGAAUUACCCACCUUGUAACGUUCGUUGGUGUCUGCAAUUCCUUUUUGUCCACAGCUGAUCACUUUCCAGGCCGUUCUGGCAUCUGAUGAAUGUGAUUCCUAUGCCCUCUUUCUCUAUCCUCCCAAUGGUCUUCAGUUUUUGGAACUCACCCCAAAGAAUCCUACAGUGUCCAGCUGCAGCUUCCUGCUAAGGUGGGAUUCUGCCAAGGGGAAGCAGAUGACCUGAAGAGAAAAGCCCUGUAUUUCAGCCUGACUAACAGUGAGCAGUCGGUGAAGAAUCUCUACCAGUGAGUAAUAUGGAGUGUGUGACUGUGCUAUGCACUGGAAGGACAUUUAGGAGAGACACUAUCUCUAGUGGCCAGAAACCAUUUGAUUAUAACCUUUGGUGGCUUCUAAGAAAGGCACUGGUUGAAAACCAAGAGCUAAGCUGGACCUCUGGAGCUUCAGGCUGUCCAAGAUUUAAAAGAUUCUUUCUUUUUCCUGCACUAUCUGUCAGGCAUAGAAACCAGAACCAGCAGUGAUUAUAUGUUUUUGCAGAACUACUGGGGCUUGCUGUGAAAAACAUUGUUCUUGGGGCUACAUAAAAAUAUCCAGUCAUAACUAACUGCCUCA